GUGGGGAAUAUUGGACAAUGGGCGAAAGCCUGAUCCAGCCAUGCCGCGUGUGUGAAGAAGGUCUUCGGAUUGUAAAGCACUUUAAGUUGGGAGGAAGGGCAGUAAGUUAAUACCUUGCUGUUUUGACGUUACCGACAGAAUAAGCACCGGCUAACUUCGUGCCAGCAGCCGCGGUAAUACGAAGGGUGCAAGCGUUAAUCGGAAUUACUGGGCGUAAAGCGCGCGUAGGUGGUUUUGUAAGUUGGAGGUGAAAUCCCCGGGCUCCACCUGGGAACUGCCUCCAAAACUGCAUGACUAGAGUACGGUAGAGGGUAGUGGAAUUUCCUGUGUAGCAGUGAAAUGCGUAGAUAUAGGAAGGAACACCAGUGGCGAAGGCGACUACCUGGACUGAUACUGACACUGAGGUGCGAAAGCGUGGGGAGCAAACAGGAUUAGAAACCCCGGUAGUCC
rnacentral:rRNA from 1 species